rnacentral:lncRNA from 1 species
AACGAUACGGCUGAGUUAUCUAAACGAUACAACUGAGUUAUCUAAACAUUUUCUGAUUUUAGAGUAUGUUUAAGGUAUGACUGAGUUAUGUAAAUGAUACGACUGAGAUAUAUAAACGACACGGCUGAGUAGUGUAAACAUAGCAUAAAUCUUUUUCUUAGCAACAACAUAGCAUAAAUCAAACACAAAACACAAAAACUUCAGUUAUAAAGUAAUUUAUAACUAAAUCGGUUUAAUUGACAAAAAAAAAUUGGUACUUUUAUAAAUUGAAUUUUGGUAUACAUGGUUUACCUACAAUUUGGUAUACAUGGUUUACCAUUACAAAUUGGUAUACACUUAAGAUAAGAAAGAAAGAGAAAAAGAAUAAAAAUAAAAAAGUAAAUAAAAAUAAAAAAGUAAAUAAAACAAUCUCAUCCAUUGAUUUAUUGGCAUCCUACGGUUCAGAGGGUGAUCCGCG